UUGUGUGGGAGACCACUACUCAUUGAGAUGGAAUCUGAACGCUGGGAGACAGGAGCAUUUUCCAGACAUUUGUUCAAUUUUGAGAAGAUAGAAAGAUUGGAAGUUAGAUUUUAUGAAGCCCAAAGGACUUCUGAAGGAUCUUCCAAGGAUUACCUCUAAUUUAGACUGAAGUGACAACUGCUCAAGGGUGGCCUGGCCACAGCAGAGCAGCCCUGCCUGCCCUGGAUGCCCAUGCUUCUGCCAGAAGUCUACAAAGAGCUGCUGAAAAGCUGCAGCAUGGCAGCUUCAGGAGGGAUUCUCCCUAUCCUAUCCAUGAGCCAGAGAGCAGAGAGCCUUGUGCUGAAGGACAGAACUGAGAGCACACAGAAACUGUCAGGCCCUCUGAGGUUCAACUUCCUACCUAAAGGCUCCAGCAGGAACAACAGAGACCUUCAGUCAGAAUAAAUUGGCUCAAGUCUCUUAGAAAUCUCUAAUAAGCCUUCAACUGGAGGACUCCAGGAGCUGUAAGAUACGGAUUUCAGGUCCUUCCUUCUUUGUCUCUGAGCAGCCUCAGUUCUCUUCUGUGCUUCUCAUGGUAUAUAGAUAGCACUGGGAUGCCAGGAAAACCACCAGUAGAGCUCUCCUUCAACACUGAAUCUCAGAAAAUUCAGGUGCCCAAACUGUUCAGCACUUGAGAUGGGGCUCCCAGUUCUAGCAAGUGAGGAAUGCGAUCCAUGAGUGCCCCCCUAAUUUAUGCUAGCCACCUCCCUGCACAGCUACUUUCAGAGACAUACUUCCCCACUGCACAGGACAUACCACAGAGGUAUCCCUCGGGUUGAAAAGAUACCUUCUGUGAAAGUGCAAUGAAAGGUAAGUUAAAAUGUGGAUGUGUUUUGUUGUGCCGGAGAAUAUUACUGAGAACAUUUUAUUAUCAUUACAUGGCAUGAUAUAAUGUUCUUUUGUUAAAACCUGUGCUGGAUAAUCAUGACCCUUACCUGAAUAUACAACUUGAAAGGCUCAGCAAAGGGAGAGAGUGUGCUUAAAAGUAAAAUAAAAGGAUGUGAGUAUGAAGAGGAGGAGCAGAAAUGAAUGAGGCAUGAGGCGUAGUGAAGAGUGGUGCUAAAGUAUCCCUUAACACACCGAGGACAACAGUAAGAAAACCUUAAGCAGCACCUUUUUUCUUACAGCCUGAGGAGAAGGAGUCAAUAAUCAAUGAACCAUAUUACUCCGAUCGAGCCUUGGGGAUUUCUGACACUCUGCAAGGAAAUAGGGACACUGUGAGGG